GACAGAGGGUGCAAACGUUGUUCGGAAUUACUGGGCGUAAAGCGCGUGUAGGCUGUCUCGAAAGUCGGAUGUGAAAGCCCUGGGCUCAACCUAGGAAGUGCAUUCGAAACUUCGAGACUCGAGUCCUGGAGAGGAUCGCGGAAUUCUCGGUGUAGAGGUGAAAUUCGUAGAUAUCGAGAGGAACACCGGUGGCGAAGGCGGCGAUCUGGACAGUGACUGACGCUGAGACGCGAAAGCGUGGGGAGCAAACAGGG
rnacentral:rRNA from 1 species